UUGUUUUAGUGAAAUGACUGCAACACAAGAUUGGACUGCUGCGGUUUGUCAGAGAUCAACUGUGCUGAUCUGGUUCUCAGCUCUGAAGUCCAACCCCUCCCAUCUGAGAGAGCUGAACUGAGUACAACAACCUGCAGGAUUCAGGAGUGAAGCUGCUCUGUGGUUUCUGGAGAGU